UGCCACAUGCGUACACUUGGCAAAAAGGUACGUGAGCACGGUACAGCAACAACCAGCUAGAUGAGAAUGCGCUUUUUUUUCAGUAACAGCCAGAGCACACACAAACAUAGAGAACGCAGCCAGUGCCAAGACCAUGAGACAUCACAUGCAGUGACUACUUUCAGACAUACUUUGCCUUUUCUUGAUGGACGUACAUACCACCAGUACAUCUUGCGAUCAAGGACGAACUCACACAGUGACCGCAACAAAUCUUGCAACCACUUACCUUUGCUUUCCACGAGAGAUCAGUCGAUAAGAUUUUUUUUUCUCUCACUUUCGACACACGCAAACAGCACAAUGUACCUGCAAACACACUCAUUAUGCAUUAUGGCCAUCUGCAGCUUCCCUGCAGGCUCUCACUUAAGGGGUAGAAGUAAUUGAAGAAUGUUUACAGUUGGCUCAGGAAGAUGCUACAGCAUGGACUAGCUUCAUACCCAGGACAAAAUGCCAGGAGGUGGCUAAAUCAGAUACUACAACGGGAGUUCACUGUUGAUGCAGAGUAAUAUCACAUAGCUCAGUAGAGGGUGUCAGCUUUAGUCAUGUUCAUAAAGACUGCUAAUGACAGAAUCCUGUUAAUGAUACAAUAAGCAAGAAUAUGUUCUUACUCAUGCCUGUAAAGAACAAAUGCAAUUUGUGCAGCUGCCUCUAAUAGCUAUGGUAGUUUCAAGAAAAACAUGAAGUUAUCUUGGAAAUAUGCUUGUCUUAUCAAAAGUUGAACUUAAGAGCUGCACUGAAAAUACGGGAAACUAAAGAUGGUCCCUGAGGUGUUCAGUUUACCAGGGAAUUCAGCUCUCACAGGUACGUCUACUGUGUGCUAUAGUUAUUAGAUGCUACUGCAGAGUAUAUAAAUAAAUAAAGUUGUGCAAAAAAAAAAAAAAACGGGGGAUAUUAACUGAACUUUUUCGACAUUUCGGUUAAUGUUGGUUUAAUAUAGCCACCUUUCUGGUUGCUAUAACUUUAGAAAGAAAAAGAAAAUACUUCGGGUAAUGUAACUAGAUCAUCCUGCUAAUAUUUGGAGUACUUUGCAGCAUGCAUAACAUUUACAAGAUGAUGCGCUGCUAUUUCUUGACUCGAAGAAUAUGCACACACAUCCUUACCAGAACAACAUCUCAGUAGUUGCACAAAAGGGGGCAGCAUUAAUUUAGCAAGUGUGAAACAGUUUCACUUAACAUACUAGUACUGCACUUUCCCUGUGAAAUGUCAGUUCCAAUGAAUUAGUCUUUUUCAAGUUUGGCGCACCAAACCAGCUCUGCUUUGCUCGAACAUUCUGCAAUCAUGACUGUCAGUAUGUGCAUCACUAAACAUAAAUUAGGUGCAGUAGAAAUGAAGCCAGUUGUCAUGCAGGGGGAGCUCAAUGUUUUACACAAGGUAAAGGAAUGCCUCAAAGAGUUUAUAUAAACGUGUGCAGACGCCAGGCACAGACAGACACGCACACAACUGCCCUUCAUCAACCACUCGCUGUGAAAAUAUGACCACGAGCAGAAUAUAUCAAACAGCAAAAAAUGGUUUGGUACCAUCAUACAAACAUUUCGCUUGAACCCACCAGGGGUAUAGUCGCAAGCUAUUAUUCGAAUCUCGACUCACUCUGGUGCUAGGAGCCGCAAGGCUGUGGCAUACCCGUUUUGAGAAGUCAUUUGCCACAUUUAUAUACUCAAGUGUCUGAGAUCAUACAUCUGAAGGCAGAAAAUAAAACAAAAAUAAAAAGCAAGUGCUGUGAGUAACAAGUGAAAGCCGUGUGGAUGACAGCAUUUGCAGUUCACAAAAAUGCUGCCAGCGAACUUUUCAGGUAAUAAAUUUUCUGCCCAAUGGAAAAGCAGGUCAGAACUCAUUCUACCUCAUACACCCAACUCCCCUUUAUUUUUGUUUUUUAACCUUGGCAGGGUUGGACAGUCAGUUGAAAUUUUGAAUCAAAGGAAGUGCUUAACAAGCAAAGGGCACCCUUUGGGACCUUUGAACAUGGUAGAAAUAAAAAGGAGGUCCAGUUAUAAUGUACCAAAUUAAUGGAAGUCACCUCUAUAGACAUUGCCAAUGCAGACUGCAAUUUAUAUGGCCAGCUUGAGAAUCUCUACAGCAGACAUUAAAAGCAAACAACUUGGUCUUCCAAGGUGAGGCACAACCUACCAGGUUGCUCAUCAUUUUCAAUACAUAAAACAUAAAACUUACACCUCAGGGCUGUCUAUAUGCUGACUUUGGCUAUUCUGCCAUCUCUAAUCCCUUCCUUGCCAAUUUUUUUCCAGAAGCACUGUCUGAACCUCGUGCUCUUUUCUUGUGGCAAAGAAUGUCAGGCAACAACAGUUACUUUUCAUGCCUCUUUGUACAUUUCAGUGAGCAGGUGUAACAGUUGCAAUAACAUGACCAUAGGUUAUUUCAAAACAAGCACAAGACAAUGUAGCAUCACUGGACAUUGAAUAUUAGUCAAGGCUCAUUUGUGGCACAGACAUGGAAGCAUUCAAAGGUUCUGCACACACAAUGCUCCAAGGCUUCCCUGCUAGUGUACAGAUAGUUUUAUCAUCUCACUGUCCUUUACAACCAUUCAUUAUUUCACCCUUUCAAGAACUACGCUGCACUCGAAUAAAAUAUCAUCGCGACAAGUAUGUCAAAGCCAUUGGUAUGCACGAAGAUGCAGAAUACAAUGAUGGCUAACUGAGUGCCACGCCUUGUAACAUAUUAUUAAGCAUCAAGAUUGGUACUGAGGAGACUGCGGUACUACUAAAAUUUACUCAUGUGAUUUGACAUAUAUCUCGUGACAUGGCAGUCACAUGCUCUCUUUAUCGUUUCAGCCUUUGGAAGUGCAUAUCACAUGUAAUAUCAUGACAAAGGUAACAGUUUACAUAUCUCUGGUACUAUUUGCACCAAAGUGAAAAAAAAAAAAAAAGGUUGAGAGUAUAAACAUUUAGGUACAGUGUCUAACCCCCAACACAAGAUAUAGUAUUGGUUUUUGUAGUUCCUUGCCUAUGACAGCAAUGAUACAGCAUCUGCCUCUCCCAUGUGGCAAUUAACAAACUGCCUGCUCAUAUCACUCCUUAAAACAUUCACUAAUCAGAGAAAGCAACUGUAGUCAGGAUACAAGACUCCUAGGUGGUAAUGCAACCAGGUUAUAAGUGAUAAAUACAUUUUCAAGCUGAUAAAAUAGUGGCUAACUAGUUUAAUAAUGAACUCACAGCAGCUAUGUCCGUUUCCUACAACAGCUGCACUAUGCCUGAGGUACUAAAGUUG
rnacentral:lncRNA from 1 species